AUUUAUUCGAAUUCUCCAGUGUCUGUUUGUUGUCCAAUCGAUUUACAAUACGAAGUGAUAGUAAAAAUCUCAUAAAAAUGGCUCUAAAAUGGGGUAUCGCGUCUGCUGGCAAAAUUUCACAUGAUUUUGUGAACGCAAUGGGAACUUUAAGCGAAGGAAUCCAUCAUGUAGUUGCUGUUGCUGCCCGUGAUCUAGAUCGAGCCGAGGAUUUUGCUAAGCGUUUCGAUAUCCCAAAAGCAUAUGGCAGCUAUAAGGAGCUGGCCCAAGAUCCAGAUGUAGAAGUUGUGUACGUUGGAACAUUGAAUCCACAACAUUUGGAAGUCGGUCUGUUGAUGCUUGAGCAUGGAAAACAUGUUUUGGUGGAAAAACCAUUGUGCCUCAACGAAAAACAAGCGCAACAACUCAUCACAUACGCCGAACAAAAGAAACUCUUUUUGAUGGAAGCGAUUUGGUCACGUUUCUUUCCAAGUUAUCAAUACGUGCGAAAUCAAAUUAAAAAUGGAAUGCUCGGCGAUAUUACUAUGGUUGAAGCUGAUAUCGGAUCUGAAGGUUUGGACAAAGUCGCUCGGAUUGCGAAAAAAGAUUUAGGCGGCGGAACAGUUGUGGAUUUGGGUGUUUAUUUAAUCCAAUUUUGUCAAUGGGUGUAUGAACAAGCACCCAAAUCAAUCAACGCAAGAGGAACAUUGAACGAAGAAGGUGUUGACCUUGAAAUGUUUGCUGAAAUGACAUACGGUGACAAUAAAAUGGCCAAAAUCAAAUCAAGUGGUUUGACGAAGUUAAGCAGAAAUGCUAGAAUCGUUGGAACGAAGGGCCAAAUUACGCUUUUGAAUUUUAAUGGAUCAACUACAAUAAUCGACGUGGAUGGAACACAGAAAACAUGGUCAUUGCCUCAAGCACAACACUACUUCAAUUUAAGUGGUAGCUGCGGCUUGAGAUAUGAAGCUGAAGAAGUAAGAAAAUGCAUUCGCGAAGGCAAAAUGGAAAGCAAUCUCGUCACUCAUAACGAAAGCCUUCUGAUUGCUCGCAUCGAAGAUGAAAUCCGAAAACAAAUCGGUGUGAAGUAUCCAGAAGAUGAUUAAAAACAGGUUUAUGUUUGUUGCUUUGCAUAGAGAAUCUUGGAAUGUUCAGAAAGAAUGAAUAGUGUAAAAAGCUUAUAGUCAUCUCAGAUGACUCAUCUUGCAGUUGGCCACAGAUAAUCAACGUAGAACUGAAACAGAUUUUGAAUUUAAAGCGUUCAAUUUUAAAUCACGGACAAAAAAACGAGGGUAGAGACGAAAAAAUGAAGUUAGUACCUACAAGUAUCAGCAUUUUUAUAUGAACGCUAGAAAAGCAGAAGAAAUUAUCGACAUAUUCAGACAUUUUGAAUGAAAUCAGCACAAUACGAAUACAAAUUGGUGAGAUCUAGAUUCUUCGCUGAUUUUGCAGUUUGUCAAAUUGACUAUAUGAUUCAGAGCUAAGUCAGAAAAACGAACACUUUGAACGAAUUUCAACACAUCAGACACACUCAUUUUUCAGUUUACUACAGUUUACCAAAAGAAUAUUAGAAAUGAAAACAAUUUAUGAACAAUAAAAACACAAAC